UGGUAGUUCAGUGGUAGAAUACCGGCUUGUCACGCCGGUGGCCGAGGUUGUAAGUUGCUCUGUUGCAAAA
rnacentral:tRNA from 1 species